rnacentral:rRNA from 1 species
UUUCUGCUCGGUGUUUGUUAACAGCCGCGGUAAUUUGACCGUGCAAAGGUAGCAUAAUCAUUUGCCUUGUAAUUGAGGGCUGGAAUGAAUGAAGUAACAAGGGCUUUACUUUAUUAAAAAAAGUUAUUGAAUUUUCUGUCUUAGUGAAGAAGCUAGGAUAAUAAAGGGGACAAGAAGACCCUUUCGAGCUUUACUAGUUUUCCUUUUGGCUUACUCUAGUUUGGUUGGGGCGACCUAGGAAUAUCUUCCUUUAGUAUUUUGAUCCACAGUUUGUGAUUAAAAGAGCAAGUUACCGAAGGGAUAACAGCGUAAUUUUCUUUGAGAGCUCUUAUUAAAAAGAAAGAUUGCGACCUCGAUGU